rnacentral:rRNA from 1 species
ACGAAGUAGCAAUACUUAGUGGCAGACGGGUGAGUAACAUGUGGGUAUCUUCCCUUUGGUGAGGAAUAACACGAGGAAACUUGUGCUAAUACCUCAUAAGUCUUUACGGAGAAAGCUUUAUGCGCCAAUGGAUGAGCCCGCACUUGAUUAGUUUGUUGGUGGGGUAAUAGCCUACCAAGACUUUGAUCAAUAGCUGAUUUGAGAGGAUGAUCAGCCACAUUGGGACUGAGACACGGCCCAAACUCCUACGGGAGGCAGCAGUAGGGAAUCUUGCACAAUGGAGGAAACUCUGAUGCAGCGAUGCCGCGUGAGUGAAGAAGGCCUUUGGGUUGUAAAGCUCUUUCGUCGGGGAAGAAAAUGACUGUACCCGAAUAAGAAGGUCCGGCUAACUUCGUGCCAGCAGCCGCGGUAAUACGAAGGGACCUAGCGUAGUUCGGAAUUACUGGGCUUAAAGAGUUCGUAGGUGGUUAAAAAAGUUGGUGGUGAAAUCCCAGAGCUUAACUCUGGAACUGCCAUCAAAACUUUUUAGCUAGAGUAUGAUAGAGGAAAGCAGAAUUUCUAGUGUAGAGGUGAAAUUCGUAGAUAUUAGAAAGAAUACCAAUUGCGAAGGCAGCUUUCUGGAUCAUUACUGACACUGAGGAACGAAAGCAUGGGUAGCGAA